AAAUUGUCAGCAAAAAUUGUUUUCUUUGGUAAAAAGCAAAAUCACGCGAAUUUAGGACCCAUUUCUGGGCCGGAUUCUUGAGAUUGGAGGCAUCAAAAAAGUUGCAGGAAUUUAAUAGAUGUGUAGUUUUAGUGGAAGAGAUGCAGAAGCUCAAAUGAGGGAGAAAAAAAGCGUCAGGGUAUUAAGGCCACAUGAGGCAGUUACAACUGGGAUGUCCAUCAAAAAAAAAUGUGUAAAAUCAUGGUACAAUAAGCUACGUAAAACUACAUAAAUACAGCCCUGAGGCUAUGCCCGCUUCCUGUCGGAAUUAUUCAAAAUUAUAGGCAGCAAGUUGUUUUCAUUUAUUUGAUAUUUUUGUUCACGUCUAAAUUGU